rnacentral:rRNA from 1 species
GCUAGUAAUGGCAGGUCAGCAUACUGCCGUGAAUACGUUCCCGGGCCCUUGUACACACCGCCCGUCACACCAUGAGAGUUGGGAAUACCCGAAGCCUGUGAGCUAACGAAAGAGGCAGCAGUCGAAGGUAGAGUCAAUGAUUGGGGUGAAGUCGUAACAAGGUAGC